AUGAACAAAGCUGGUGGAGGUGAUGGAAUUCCAGUUGAGCUAUUUCAAAUCCUGAAAGAUGAUGCUGUGAAAGUGCUGCACUCAAUAUGCCAGCAAAUUUGGAAAACUCAGCAGUGGCCACAGGACUGGAAAAGGUCAGUUUUCAUUCCAAUCCCAAAGAAAGGCAAUGCCAAAGAACGCUCAAACUACCACACAAUUGCACUCAUCUCCCAUGCUAGUAAAGUAAUGCUCAAAAUUCUCCAAGCCAGGCUUCAGCAAUACGUGAACCAUGAACUUCUUAAUGUUCAAGUUAGUUUUAUAAAAAGCAGAGGAACCAGAGAUCAAAUUGCCAGCAUUCACUGGAUCAUCGAAAAAGCAAGAGAGCCAAAAAAAAAACCAAAAAACAAACAAACAAACAAAAAAAAAACAAAAAAAAACCCCAUCUAUUUCUGCUUUAUUGACGAUGCCAAAGCCUUUGACUGUGUGGAUCAUAAGAAACUGUGGAAAAUUCUUCAAGAGAUGGGAAUACCAGACCACCUGACCUGCCUCUUGAGAAACCUGUAUGCAGGCCAGGAAGCAACAGUUAGAAAAGUUAGAAUGGAACAAAACAUGUUCCAAAUAGGAAAAGGAGUAUGUCAAGGCUGUGUAUUGUCACCCUGCUUAUUUAACUUAUCUGCAGAGUACAUCAUGAGAAACGCUGGACUGGAAGAAGCGCAAGCUGGAAUCAAGAUUGCUGGGAGAAAUAUCAAUAACCUAAGAUAUGCAGAUGACACCAUCCUUAUGGCAGAAAGUGAAGAGGAGCUAAAAAGCCUCUUGAUGAAAGUGAAAGAGGAGAGUGAAAAAGUUGGCUUAAGGCCCAACAUUCAGAAAACUAACAUCAUGGCAUCCGGUCCCAUCAUUUCAUGGCAAAUAGAUGGGGAAACAGUAGAGAGAGUGGCUGGCUUUAUUUUUCUGGGCUCCAAAAUCACUGCAAAUGGUGAUUGCAGCCAUGAAAUUAAAAGACGCUUUCUUGUUGGAAGGAAAGUUAUGACCAACCUAGACAGCAUAUUAAAAAACAGACAUAUUACUUUGCCGACUAAGGUCUGUCUAGUCAAGGCUAUGUUUUUUCCAGUGGUCUUGUAUGGAUGUGAGAGUUGGACUAUAAAGAAAGCUGAGCGCCAAAGAAUUGAUGCUUUUGAACUGUGGUGUUGGAGAAGACUCCUGAGAGUCCCUUGGACUGCAAGGAGAUCCAAGCAGUACAUCCUAAAGGAGAUCAGUCCUGGGUGUUCAUUGGAGGGACUGGUGUUGAAGCUGAAGCUCCAGUACUUUGGCCACCUCAUGCGAAGAGUUGACUCAUUGGAAAAGACUCUGAUGCUGGAAGGGAUUGGGGGCAGGAGGAAAAGGGGACGACAGAGGAUGAGAUGGUUGGAUGGCAUCACUGACUCAGUGAACAUGGGUUUGGGUGGACUCUGGGAGUUGGUGAUGGACAAGGAGGCCUGGCGUGCUGAGGUUCAUAGGGUUGAAAAAAGUAGGACACGACUGAGCGACUGA
rnacentral:lncRNA from 1 species